GCUGCUGAUCGGGCCCCGCUUCGCGUGACUCGGCGCGCCGGAGCGGGGGCGGACUGCGGCUUCCUGCCCUGUCUGGCUCUAGCCGCAGCGCCAGGGCGGCCGGAGCCGGCUCCUGAGGAGUGGCUGCACCCCGGGGCCUCUCCUUGGCCUGGCUGGGCCGUCCGAGGCGGGGCUGCCCGGUCCAUCCCUGCCGCUGGCCGAGCGCCAGCCCCGAGGACCGUUGCGCCAGAUCCCGGGAUUCGUGAUUCCUAUCUGGGGACCCCUGCAGCUCACAUCCACUUAGUAGGCCCUUUGCGUGGGGUUAGAGCGGCCAGAUGUCGGAGGCUAUGGCAAUGAACCUUCUGGAGGAUUGGUGUCGCGGGAUGGAAGUGGACAUCCACAGGUCCCUGUUGGUCACGGGCAUCCCAGAGGACUGUGGACAGGCAGAAAUCGAGGAGACCUUGAAUGGGGUCCUCUCGCCCCUGGGCUCCUACCGCGUGCUUAACAAGAUUUUCUUGAGGGAGGAGAACGUGAAGGCUGCCCUUAUCGAGGUUAGCGAGGGUGUGAAUCUGAGCGCCAUACCGCGGGAGUUCCCAGGAAGAGGCGGUGCCUGGAGAGUGGCCUGUAGGGACCCCACCCAGGAUGCCGAGUUUUUGAAAAACCUGAACGAAUUCCUGGAUGCCGAGGGGCGCACAUGGGAGGAUGUGGUCCGCUUGCUGCAGCUUAACCACCCCUCGCCGUCCCAGAACCAGCCUUCGGAGAACUGGGCAGAGACUUUGGGGGUGCUCCUGGGGGCUGUGGUGCAAGUCAUCUUUUACAUGGAUGCGGAGAUCCGCAGUCGGGAGGAAGCUAGGGCUCUGGAGACCGCCGAGGCAGAGGAGGCAGCAGCCUGGGUAUCAGCAGCAGGGAAAAAGGUCAAGAAGGAGCCGGGGCUGGCUGCAGAACUGGGUUCCACCUUGAAGAUGGAGAACCCCCGCCACUGGAAUGCCGUGGAAAACCAGGGUGACCCUCCCAAACCUCUAGUUCGCAGGGCUGGAGCUAAGGCUCGCUCCAGGAGAAAGAAGCAGAAAAAAAAUCUCAAACAGGAACCAGUGCCCUGGAAAAAGCCCAAAGGCAACCGUCCCAGUAGCUCCUCCUACUUGGAGAAUCGCAAUGCCGGGGAGGGGGAAAGCAUGGAGAUCUCCGAGUCUAUCAAGAGCAACAAAAAACCGUGUGUGAAGCAGGAGGAAUCAGCUCUGAAGAAGCCUUUGGCAAAAAGUGCCUGGAAGGUGCCCCGGGAUCCGCCUCAGGAGGCCCCUAGGGAAGUGGAGAGCCCUGCAAGCACCGCUCAGUUAGCUCAAGGUGGUGGUCAGCAAAGGCCCCCAAAGAAGAAGGCCAUGGGCUGGGCCUCCGGAAAGAGCCCUGCCCCCAUGAGGAAGAAGAAGAAGGUGAGCUUGGGCCCAGUCUCUUACGUCCUGGUUGAUUCCGAAGAGGCAAAGAAGAAGCCCAUGAUUGCAAAGAAGGCCUCUGGCUUGAGAAGGGAUGUGUCAGCCCAGAAGGGCCCUAGAGGCCUCCAGCACUCCAGAUCACAAGCCUCAACAUCCAGGGGUCUGAAGGCCAAGCCAGGAGGCUCUCCUCGUGCCUCCAAUGAUUCCAGAAAGCUUUGAAGGGAGACCACCCAUGCCCAUGGAGGUGAAAGAAGACCAAGGAAGAAGUUCCAAGUUAGAAGCAAAGCUUUCUCUUGUCAUUGAGUGAAACGACACUUGGCUCUUUGAGGGACCCAGUUUCUAAAGGUCUGGCUCUCGGAGAGAGGGUCUCACUGAAUUGCUGGCUUCGAACUUGUGAUCCUCUUGCCUCAGCCUCCCAAGCCACAGGGAUUACAGUAUGAUGGUGUUGUUUUAAUGUAAAGAAGUACAGAGAAAAUGAGAAGUGUCCUACUGUCUGUCCACAUCAGCAUUCUGAAAUGGACGGGCUUUCUUCAGGAUCAUGGGUGGCACUGGGGCCACAUCCUCCUCGUCCCCUUCUGGAUGGCCGCCAGGCCCCUCCACCAGGAAGCUGCUACUCUGCCCUUGGAAACCGCUCUCCUUGCUGCUAUGUGACAGGGUCGGUCGUACUGGACUCGUGGCUUUGUUAUUUCAACCAUGUCCUGAGAAUGUCAGCAUCUCUGACGUGGGGAAGGAGUCUCAUCAGCGCUCAGAGAUCUUCCUCUCCACUUUCUUGAGCAGUUAUAGGUGGACACAAUAUUUUAUUUUCACGUGGUGCUGAGGAUGGAACCCAGUGCCUCCCGCAUGCUAGAGACUCUUUUGCUGACAGUCCUAAAAUCAGCCAUGGUGAAGCGGGCUUUUCUGUGGAGAAAGGGGGAGCCACUUCAGGAUCACAGGCGUGCACCACCCCACCUGAUGGAGGAUUCCAGAUUUGAACCUGACUUCCAGGACCUUAGGAAGACACACACGAAGAUAGGAGAAAACCACACACCUUAUUUGAUGGUUUAUCAAUUCGUUGAGCUGGGGAUUGAAAUGUGCCAAGCAGGAGCUCCAUCCCUGAGCCACACCUCCAGCCCAGGAUCUGUUCUAGGACCUGCAGACACAGCCUCAACCGGACAGCCUCCCAGCCUGGCUCAGGUCCCCUGCGGUCACUCCUGGAGUUCCCAGCAUUCCACUUUACUGGAUCUCCCUGCCCAGUGUGGUGGUGCACACCUGAGACUCCAGGAGGCUGAGCGAAAGACGUCCCAGGAAAACUGAGCUCCGUUAGCACGUCGUGGACUCUGCGCAUCAGCUCUUCCUGGGGUCGCAGGCUUGUCCCUGCUGUAAACGGGCAGAGGUGCCCUCCUGGCUGCCUGGCAGAGCUCCUAAGGCCCAGCCGCCCCACUCACCCCAGGGCGCGGCACCCCAGGCCUGGAACAAGGAGCCUCUCAGGAAAUGUUGGUGGAUCAAAUAAAUGAGCCGUUGUGUCGCCUGCUUCUGGAACCAGAAUGUGCGUAAACCCAGGGAUCCACCACGGCGUGCCAAGGACUCAAAAUCCACGGCAAACCGUUUCCAUUGCCAAGUUCACUACAUCUUUUGAAGGAGAAUUCGUCUUUGUACAUAAUGAACACUGUCCGCGUGGAGUGGAGGGUGAACUUUUUUUUUUAAUUUAUUUUAACACUGGGGCCGGAACCCAGGUCCUAGCACAUGCUGGGCAAGCUCUCUGCGCUGAACUACAUACCCCAACCCCUGAGAUAGAUAGAUAGAUAUGGUGGGGUCUGAACUCAGGGACACUCAAUUACUAAGCCACAUCCCAGUCCUUUUUUGUUUUUUAUUUGGAGACAACGUCUCCUUAAUUCGCUUAGGGCCUCACUAACUUUCUGAGGCUGGCCUCCAACUUGCAAUCAUCCUGCUUCAGCCUCGGAAGACUCUGGGGUUACAGGCAUGUGUCACAAUGGCCAGAAAGGUGACUUUUUAAUGACAAAAUAAGGCAUCAGUGGGGCUCCCCGGUAAUCCCAGCAGUUCAAGAGGCUGAAGCAGAAGGGUCGAGAGUUCAAAGCCAGCCUCAGCAACUUAGCGAGACACUUAGCAACUCAGGGAGACCCUGUCUCUAAAUAAAGUACAAAAAAGGGCUGGGGAUGUGGUCUGUGGGCACCGUUGGGUUCAGUCCCCUGUACCUAAAUAAAUGACUAAAGCUUCAAAGAAAUCUCUAUGGAAGAGCUGGUUCCUGAAACCCCCUGGAGGAGAGGGCAAGCCUCCCUUUUCUUCUCUGUGCUGGAGAACGUGAGUAAUGGGUCCACCAGCCCUGUCCAGCUCUGCCUCCAGGGAGGAGCAAGGCCUCUGUGGGUCUCCCCCCGCCCCGGGGAGGAACUCAUCAUGGAAUCGGACCUUUGGUGAUUGUGGGUCAAAAAUAAAAACCCAGAGGGGAUGGCGGGAACAUUAACAAAAUGGCUGGCCUGGGCUGCGGUGGGGCUCAGUGGUGCAGCCCAUGUCUAGCACGCACAGAGCCCGGGUUCCACACUCAGCAACACCAAAGAAAAAUAGAGGCUUCAGGUGGCUGUUAGAGAAGCUUGACACAAAAGCGAAGCCUCCUCCGUGUGCUGGUGACAUGGGCAUCGCCACCAUCAGUCAGUGUUUAAAUUCCUUUAUGAAGAGUUACUCAAGCAUACGGAAGGGUGAGUUAAUAAUAAGAAGGUUACUGAAGGUGUCAAUCAGGCAUCUCACUCCAGUCUGCAAAGCUAAGCGGGAAUGCAGAUACACAAAUCAAGGACGGGGAGCAAUAAGGACUGGCAGGGCCUGUGGAAAACCAGAACAGGAGCUCCAUCUGAAAGGGAGGCAGAGGCUUCUCAGUCCCAACAGGUUUUCUUCAGGUGACAAUGAAGGUCUAUAUGACAGAUCCUCUCUUCCCCCCAUUUUUUUUAAGUGAAGGGAUCUUGGUAUAUUGCCAGGGCUGGCCCCAAAUUCCUAGGCUCAGACAAGUCUUUCUCCGGUCUCAGCCUCCAGGUGGCUGGGACUAGGAGUGUGGGCUCCUUGUCUAGCAGAUUCUCUCGUUUCAAAUAGAAGCCAGAAAUCUGGAGUCCUUUUACGUUUCAUUUUAAAAGUCGGUCACUGACUUAAAGCUUUUGGAAAGCAGAGCUGAACAAAUCAAGCAGAUCUGAGCCCAGUUUCCUGAGGAGAGGGUUCCCAUUCGUGGCCUCUGAGUUAAGCUUUUCCCUCCAACUCUCAGUGGAGUGCCCUGGGACAGGACAGGACGCAAGGUCACUAUCACACUCCCCCCUCCCCCUCAGACUCUGCCCAUUGACAAACCCGCACUGGCCACUUGAUGCAGAUCCUGGAUGGAAGGUCCCCAACAGAGAGGCCACCUGCCUGCCCAGAAGAGCCUCUUCCCUCCUGGUCACUCCCAGAUCCCUCACUGCCCUGCCCUGCCCUAAAGUGGGAACAGGCCCCCUGUCCAGUCUGCUCCCAGGAUGACCCAAAGGAGAAAAACGCAUUGAUGGGAGAAAGUCUUUGAAAUUUGGGAGAGGAAGUUUGUCUUUGGAGGUUAGACCAAUACUGUGCUGCCUCUCCCUGCAGAAGCAACACAUGUGUACAUAUAUGUUCACCAAGAAACACAGGGCACCUCGUCUGUGAAUCCGUCAUAAAAAAAUGCAAAAAUCAAACUGAAUUUAUCUGUGACCUUGAAAGUCAGGGGGCUGGCUACCCUUGAAAGGAUACAGUGACUUGGACAGAGUACAAGACACCCUUCUUGGGAUGCUGAUGGUGUCCAUUUAUGAUUUGGGUGCUAUUCAUGUGUGGGUUUUCAUUUAUAAUCUAUAUGCUCCUCGUUACAGACAUUGUAAUUCAAUGAGUAUUUAAAAAUAAAGUUUCAAAGGAAUGGG